UGGGGAAUCUUGCACAAUGGAGGAAACUCUGAUGCAGCGACGCCGCGUGAGCGAUGAAGCCCUUCGGGGUGUAAAGCUCUUUCGACGGGAACGAUAAUGACGGUACCCGAAGAAGAAGCUGCGGCUAACUACGUGCCAGCAGCCGCGGUAAUACGUAGGCAGCAAGCGUUGUUCGGAAUUACUGGGCGUAAAGAGUGCGUAGGCGGUGUUCUAAGUCUGUUGUGAAAUCUCCCGGCUUAACUGGGAGGGUACGGCGGAGACUGGAAUGCUAGAGUAUGGGAGAGGUAAGCGGAAUUCCUGGUGUAGCGGUGAAAUGCGUAGAUAUCAGGAGGAACACCUGUGGUGUAGACAGCUUACUGGACCAUGACUGACGCUGAGACACGAAAGCGUGGGUAGCAAACAGGAUUAGAUACCCUGGUAGUCCACGCCCUAAACGAUGCAUACUUGGUGUGAGCCAUUCAUUUGGUUCGUGCCGGAGCUAACGCGUUAAG
rnacentral:rRNA from 1 species